GGGGAUAACAUUUGGAAACGAAUGCUAAUACCCCAUAUGCCCUUAAGACAUAAGUCUGCAGGGGAAAUAUUUAUAGCUCUAGGAAUUGCCUGUACGCUAUCAGCUUGUUGGUGAGGUAAUGGCUCACCAAGGCAAUGACGCCUAACUGGUUUGAGAGGAUGAUCAGUCACACUGGAACUGAGACACGGUCCAGACUCCUACGGGAGGCAGCAGUGGGGAAUAUUGCACAAUGGAGGAAACUCUGAUGCAGCAACGCCGCGUGGAGGAUGACACUUUUCGGAGCGUAAACUCCUUUUAUAUAGGAAGAUAAUGACGGUACUAUAUGAAUAAGCACCGGCUAACUCCGUGCCAGCAGCCGCGGUAAUACGGAGGGUGCAAGCGUUACUCGGAAUCACUGGGCGUAAAGAGCGUGUAGGCGGA
rnacentral:rRNA from 1 species